rnacentral:rRNA from 1 species
CGGACGGGUGAGUAACGCGUGGAUAACCUGCCUCACACUGGGGGAGUAACAGUUAGAAAUGGCUGCUAAUACCGCAUAAGCGCACAGUACCGCAUGGUACGGUGUGAAAAACCCAGGUGGUGUGAGAUGGAUCCGCGUCUGAUUAGCCAGUUGGCGGGGUAACGGCCCACCAAAGCGACGAUCAGUAGCCGACCUGAGAGGGUGACCGGCCACAUUGGGACUGAGACACGGCCCAAACUCCUACGGGAGGCAGCAUG